rnacentral:rRNA from 1 species
GAUGAACGCUGGCGGCGUGCCUAAUACAUGCAAGUCGAGCGAACAGACGAGGAGCUUGCUCCUCUGACGUUAGCGGCGGACGGGAGAGUAACACGUGGAUAACCUACCUAUAAGACAGGGAUAACUUCGGGAAACAGGAGCUAAUACCGGAUGAUAUAUUGAACCACAUGGGUCAAGAGUGAAAGACGGUUUUGCUGUCACUAAUAGAUGGCUCCGCGCCGCAUUAGCUAGUUGGUAAGGUAGCGGCUUACCAAGGCAACGAUGCGUAGCCGCCCUGAGAGGGUCAUCGCCUACACUGGAACUGAGGCUCGGCCGAGACUCCUACGGUGGGACGCGGUAGGGACUCUUCCGCAAUGGGCGAAAGCGGGAUGGUGCACAGCGGCGUGAGUCAUGAAGGUCUUAGGACCGGAAAGCUCUGUUAUUCGUAAAGAAGAAAUGUGCAAGUAACUAUGCACGUAUUGACGGUACCUGAACAGAAAGCCACGGCUAACUACGUG